AUGGAACGCUGGCCGGCAGGCCUCUAACACAUGUCAAGUCCGGGGGAGGAGGAUAUGCUCGUAUUUCUUGAAUCCCGGAGACGGCGGACGGGUGAGUAAUGCAUUAGGAAUGCUGCCUAUUAGUGGGGGACAACAUUCCGAAAGGAAUGCUAAUACCGCAUACGCCCUACGGGGGAAAGCAGGGGAUCUUCGGACCUUGCGCUAUUAGAUGAGCCUAUGUCUGAUUAGCUAGUUGGUGAGGUAAAGGCCUACCAAGGCGACGAUCUGUAGCGGGUCUGAGAGGAUGAUCCGCCACACUGGGACUGAGACACGGCCCAGACUCCUACGGGAGGCAGCAUUGGGGAAUAUUGGACAAUGGGGGGAACCCUGAUCCACCCUUGCCGCGUGUGUAAAAAAGGCCUUUUGUUUGUAAAGCACUUUAAGCGAGGACGAAGCUACCGAGACUAAUACUCUUGGAUAGUGGACGUUACUCCCAAAAUAAGCACCGGCUAACUCUGUGCCAGCAGCCGCGGUAAUACAGAGGGUGCGAGCGUUAAUCGGAUUUACUGGGCGUAAAGCGUGCGUAGGCGGCUUUUUAAGUCGGAUGUGAAAUCCCCGAGCUUAACUUGGGAAUUGCAUUCGAUACUGGGAAGCUAGAGUAUGGGAGAGGAUGGUAGAAUUCCAGGUGUAGCGGUGAAAUGCGUAGAGAUCUGGAGGAAUACCGAUGGCGAAGGCAGCCAUCUGGCCUAAUACUGACGCUGAGGUACGAAAGCAUGGGGAGCAAACAGGAU
rnacentral:rRNA from 1 species